rnacentral:rRNA from 1 species
UAGCUCAGUAACACGUGGAGAACGUGCCCUUUAGUGGAGGAUAAUCUCGGGAAAUUGAGGAUAAUACUCCAUAGAUCAUGGGAUCUGGAAUGACCCAUGGUUCAAAGUUCCGGCGCUUAAGGAUCGCUCUGCGGCCUAUCAGGUAGUAGUGGGUGUAAAGUACCCCCUAGCCUACGACGGGUAUGGGCCUUGAGAGAGGGAGCCCAGAGUUGGAUUCUGUGUUUUUUUUUUCAUGCCCUACGGGGCGCAGCAGUCGCGAAAACUUCACACUGGGGGCAACCCCGAUGAGGGAAAUCCUAGUGCUAGGACAUUUGUUCUAGCUUUUCUCAAGCGUAGAUAACUUGAGGAAUAAGGGCUGGGUAAGACGGGUGCCAGCCGCCGCGGUAAUACCUGCAGCCCAAGUGGUGGUCGAUUUUAUUGAGUCUAAAACGUUCGUAGCCGGUUUGGUAAAUCUUUGGGUAAAUCGGGAGGCUCAACUUUCCGACUUCCGAAGAGACUGUCAAACUUGGGACCGGGAGAAGGCUAGAAGGUUCUUUCUGGGGUAGGGUUAAAUCCUUGUUAAUCCUAAAAGGACACCCCGGGUGGCGAAGGGGUUUUACCUUAAACGGAACCCACAGGGGGAGAGAACAAAACCUGUGGUCUCCACCGGGA